UCUCUUCCGCCUGUGUGUCCUUUGUGUCCAGGAAUUCCUCGGACAGUGGGGAGGGAGGGGAGGCCAUUUCUCUCCUAGGUCUGGAGUGUUUCACCCGGGCAUACGUCACUGCCUGGGGGUCUUCAUCGUGUGGGCUCUGCUGGAGAGAGACACUGGUGGGGGGUGUCCUUGAAUCCCCCUCACCCCCUGGAGUCAGUUUUCCCCACUAUUCCCAGGAUGAUCCGAUUACAUCCCUUUCCUGAUGGAAUCUCAGGGACGCCCGAAGGCCGUGGAGGGUCUGGCCGCUCCCUCCCUGUGGUUCUGGCCUCUCCUCCUCACUCUGACCUUGCCCAUUUGGCUGCAGCCUCACACGGCCUUCCUGCAAGAGCUCGCUGCUGCCUCGGGGCCUUUGCACGGCUGUUUCUUCUGCCUGCAGGGGCUCGUCCAUUAGAGGAUCCUGUGGCCCCCUCCGUCCAGGCUUCUCAGAUGACAGCUGAGCAGACAGCCCUCCCCUUACAUUCAGACUGGCCCCACUGCCCCACACUCUGCCCUUUCCCUGGUUUAUGUUUCUUACAGCACGUUGCACUCCUGGACACUGCAUUUAUUUGCAUUUUGUCUCCCACCACGAGGUGAGCUCAGGAGGCGGGGGCGGCUCUGCUCCCUGCUGUGUCUGCAGGUCCCACGGGGAGCCCAAUCCACAGUGAGCUCCUGGGAACACUCGCUGGAUGAAUGAAUGAAGGGAGCCCAGGGGACCGGGGUGGUUCAUCUAUUCCUCAUCCUCCUGAGGCCUGGGGAGCGCUCUAACCACCAGACGGCCAAACAGAGGAGGAGGAGCGGGAAGGGGACCCGGGAGGAGGCCCGUGAGGUCCCAGGACAGCAGGAGAGAGUGAGGUCACAGCAGGCGGGAGGCAGCGUGCUGGACAAGGAGGGGUCCACCGUGACGAUGCUGAGAGCCGGGGGAAGAGGACGGAGAAGUCCUGCAGGAUUAGAUCUGGCACCAGGAGGCCUUUGGUGCCCGGGACAGGGGCAGGGUCUCACCUGACUGUCCAGCUCCACCCCGUCCUCAGGCUGUGUGUCCUUCAUGGCAGCAUCUGCAGGGAAACAGCAAGGACUUCGUCUCCUGGGAAGGAUCCCUGAGACCUCUCAGUCCUGCUGGCCCCUGCCCAGCUCCCACUAGGGCCACUGAGAUCCAGGGAGGCCCCACAGUGGGGGGCGAGACCAUCUUCCACGGAGCCCCAGACCCUUCCCAGCCCCUCCCUGUUGCUACUGAAAUUUUGGGUCUCCCCAGCACCCCCAUUUGUCCCUUCUCUUUUUCUUACAGAGGUUUUCUUCCUGGACGUCAGCAGCUGCGCUGGACCUGGGGGAGGACACAGGAGUGUGAGGGGCAGUAUAUGGGCUGUGGUGGGUGGGAGUCUGGGGUCUUCAGGCAGAAUUACCUCCUCAGCAGGCCCCUGUCCUUGGGCUCUGGCUCCGCAGCCCCUGCAGGACGCUGGAAAUCAGUCUUUCUCUGGUCUGGGUGAAGAUGGACAGAGUCUGAGCCCUGGAAACAUUAGAACCCCCAUUCUACACAUGCAACUUGAGGGGAAGAAGGAAAACUAAAAAUAUUCCUGCAUAGAUGUUUCAAAUAUUUUAUGAGAUAGAAAAAACUCCAUGAAUACUGAAGUUUGUAAAUGUGUGCUGACAUUACGUUUCCCUGGAACCGGUUUUCUAAACUGACACCCCGGUGAGUUUGGGUUCCCUCUGGCUGGUGUACCCUCCGUCAGCCCAUGGGGUCCCACACUUCCCUACUCACCUGAUAUCUUGUGUUUGCUCUGACGCUGACGUCGGAGGACGAGGAAGAGGAGGAGGAAAAGCAGCAGGACGAAGGCCACCAAGACCCCAAUCAAAGCCUCCAGAUGCACAAACUGAGGCUCAGAGAGGGGAAUCGCCUGCCCCAGGACCCCCAGCCAGGAAGCGGCAGAGCUGGGAAGGGAACCCAGGAGUCUGACCCGCAGCCCUUGUUCCCUGCACCGGAGCUGAGCCCUGGAGCUGCAGGGAAAGAGCCUGACUGUCCUGAACCACAGCCCUGCUCCCCUCCCCUGCCCCAGGUCACCGUCACUGCUGCAGGAGGGACAGGACAAGCCCCUGCGGAAUCGGGUCCUGGGAGGCUUCCCUGGGAAUUCUCCUCUCCCAGGAGGUCAGAGCUGAAAGGAACUUUCCCACCCACAGGCCUCUCUCCUUUAUACUUGGAGAAACUGAGGCCCAGGCAGGGGAGGGGCCUGUCCACGUCAGCAUCUCCAGAGGGGCCUGAACCUAGGACAGAAGCCACGUCUGCCUCCCCUGCACCCCGCCCACCCUCCUCUCAGAGCCCCCACUCACCACUCUGGGGGCCUGACCCUGAGGGGUUGAGGGGCUGGUCUUCAAGGCCUCCUGGGUCAGGACAGAGAGACGCAGCGGGGGAUGGGCUGCCCCCUCCUUGGUCAGAAGAAAAGUGUGGAACUGUCCCCAUGACUGACACAGCAGGGUCACGUUCUCUCCUGAGGCCACCGUGGGGCCCGGCUGCACCGAGAGGGAGACCGUGUCAUAGAACUGUCCUGGAGAGAAGAAGGAUGGGUGAGGGGCUGCCCCACCUUGUUCUGAGCUGACACCUCCCCAGGCCUCUCCCUAGGACACUUAGUUUCUCUGUCUUUGUUUUCUCUGAGUCUCCCCCUCCCCACCCAUCCCCUGUCUCUGUCUCUUCCUCCCUUGGGACCCCCGCCCCUCAUCCCAGCCAUCACCACCUUGGCUCCCCCAGCAGGGCCUGUGCAGAGCCUGGGUCCCUGACUGAACCCGCUGGGCUCCUCACUUGAGAUCAGGAUGUCCAGGGGGUCACU